rnacentral:misc_RNA from 1 species
CAAGGAGCCGAAAGGCUGCUCGAAACCAUCGCGAACCCAUCCAAGUUGCUUCGGCUGCCUGGCCCUCCCUUCGGGGGGGGCGAGCCGCCGGAGGUACCAGAACCCUCCUGUAUUAUAGCGGCAUCUCUGAGUAAAACAAGCAAAUAAGCCA